rnacentral:tRNA from 1 species
GCCGGAGUAGUUUAGUGGUAGAACGCCAGUCUCAUAAGCUGGAUGUCGAGAGUUCAAAUCUCUCCUCCGGCA